rnacentral:lncRNA from 1 species
CUCUGCUGGUUUGCAUGGUUGGGCUUUCACUUUGACAAACUUUGCUAAGAUGUAUGCCUCGAAGUUUGGGGUUGAUGAAUCCAAGAUGAUGGAAAGGCUAUGGGGUGAGAACUUCUUUGAUCCUGCUACUAAGAAGUGGACCACCAAAAAUACAGGUUCUCCAACAUGCAAGCGUGGUUUUGUGCAGUUCUGUUAUGAGCCGAUCAAGCAGAUUAUUAACACUUGCAUGAAUGACCAGAAGGACAAACUGUGGCCGAUGUUGCAAAAGCUUGGGGUAACAAUGAAGUCCGAGGAAAAGGAUUUAAUGGGCAAGGCCUUGAUGAAGCGUGUUAUGCAGACUUGGCUGCCUGCUAGUAAUGCUCUUCUAGAAAUGAUGAUCUUUCACCUUCCCUCUCCUGCCAAGGCCCAGAAGUAUCGUGUUGAGAACUUGUAUGAGGGACCCCUGGAUGAUCCUUAUGCCAAUGCUAUCA